rnacentral:rRNA from 1 species
GCAGGUUGAAGCGCGGGUAAGACCGCGUGGAGGACCGAACCCACCUGGGUUGAAAACCGGGGGGAUGACCUGGGGCUAGGGGUGAAAGGCCAAUCAAAUUCCGUGAUAGCUGGUUCUCUCCGAAAUGCAUUUAGGUGCAGCGUCGGUUGAUUGCAUCGCGGGGGUAGAGCUACUGGAUGCUUGCGGGCCCGUAUGGGGUACCAAUAGCAGCCAAACUCCGAAUACCGUGGAUGUGUAUUCCGGCAGUGAGUCGGCGGGGGAUAAGCUCCGUCGUCGAGAGGGAGACAGCCCAGAUCGUCGUCUAAGGUCCCGAAGCGUGUGCUAAGUGGGAAAGGAUGUGGAGUCGCAUAGACAGCCAGGAGGUUGGCUCAGAAGCAGCCAUCCUUGAAAGAGUGCGUAACAGCUCACUGGUCUAGUGGUUCCGCGCCGACAAUGUAGCGGGGCUCAAGCACACCACCGAAGACGCGGCAGCGGCCUUUGUGGCCGUUGGGUAGGAGAGCGUCCCGCGUGGGGCGAAGCGGCCGGGGAACCGUGCCGUGGACCGCGCGGGAGUGAGAAUGCAGACAUGAGUAGCGAGAGACGGGUGAGGAUCCCGUCCGCUGGAUGACCAAGGGUUCCGGGGCCACGUUCGUCGUCCCCGGGUGAGUCGGGUCCUAAGGCGAGGCCGACAGGCGUAGUCGAAUGGAUGAACGGGUGGAUAUUCCCGUACCGGCGGCGUACCGUAAGAGCCGAACGGAUGAGUACUAACCUCCGGUCGCGUGGCGUCGUUCCCUUCGGGGUUCGGUGUCCGCGGUCGUUGGGAGCGUAGUCCUGGUAGGCUAGCGCACAGGGGUGACACGGAAUGGGAGCCGGCCGCGGAGGUGGUUUUCCGUGGUCAAGCACGCAGCCCGUCCCAUAGGCAAAUCCGUGGGGCAUGUAGGGUGAGGUGUGAUGAUGGGCGUCUUUUUGGCGCGAUAUCCGGUGGUCCAGGCCGUCGAGAAAAGCCUCGGCGCGAGGGGCGUCGCCGCCCGUACCCCAAACCGACACUGGUGGUCAGGUAGAGAAUACCAAAGCGAUCGAGCGAAUCCUGGUCAAGGAACUCGGCAAAUCACUCCCGUGCCUUCGGUAUAAGGGAGACCCCCGGGCGUGAAGAGGCUUGCCCUCGGAGCGUUUGGGGGUGGCACAGACCAGGGGGUAGCGACUGUUUACCAAAAACACAGGUGCAUGCGAAGGCGCAAGCCGCUGUAUAUGCACUGACGCCUGCCCGGUGCCGGAAGGUUAAGAGGAUCCGUCAGCCCCUUUUUGGGGUGAAGCGGUGAAUUCAAGCCCCGGUAAACGGCGGUGGUAACUAUAACCAUCCUAAGGUAGCGAAAUUCCUUGUCGGGUAAGUUCCGACCUGCACGAAUGGCGUAACGACUUCCCCACUGUCUCGACCAGGAGCUCGGCGAAAUUGCAGUACGAGUAAAGAUGCUCGUUAAGCGCAGAAGGACGAAAAGACCCCGGGACCUUUACUAUACCUUGGUAUUGGCGUUAGGCGCGGAUUGUGUAGCAUAGGCGGGAGGCUUCGAAGCAUGGGCGCCAGCCCGUGUGGAGCCGCAAGGUGAAAUACCGCUCUGUUCUCGUUUGACGUCUAACCUCGAACAGUCAUCCUGUUCAGGGACAGUGCCUGGCGGGUAGUUUAACUGGGGCGGUUGCCUCCCAAAGAGUAACGGAGGCGCUCAAAGGUCCGCUCAGCCCGGUUGGCAAUCGGGUUUCGAGUGUAAUCGCACAAGCGGGCUUGACUGCGAGAACGACGGUUCGGGCAGGGACGAAAGUCGGAGAUAGUGAUCCGGUGCCGGCGCACGGGCGCGGCAUCGCUCAACGGAUAAAAGGUACCCCGGGGAUAACAGGCUGAUCAUUCCCAAGAGUCCAUAUCGACGGGAUGGUUUGGCACCUCGAUGUCGGCUCGUCGCAUCCUGGGGCUGGAGCAGGUCCCAAGGGUUCGGCUGUUCGCCGAUUAAAGCGGCACGCGAGCUGGGUUCAGAACGUCGUGAGACAGUUUGGUCUCUAUCCUCUGCGCUCGUUGGAAUCCUGAGGAGGCCUGCCCAUAGUACGAGAGGACCUGGGUGGACGGACCUCUGGUAUGCCGGUUGUCGCGCCAGCGGCAUGGCCGGUUGGCUACGUUCGGGAGGGAUAACCGCUGAAAGCAUCUAAGCGGGAAGCCUGCUCCAAGAU